rnacentral:RNase_P_RNA from 1 species
GCGGCCGGACGGCCCGUCGCGGGCCGCGCUCCCACAUUGGAGCGUGAGCGUGAGGAAAGUCCGGGCAACGAAGAGCACCAUCCUUCCUAACAGAAAGGCACGGGCAACCGUGCAGGCAACGUGACAGAAAACAACCGCCCCACACAAUGGCGGGGGAGCCUCCCUCCGGGGGGCGCCACCACCCCACCGGGGCAAGGGUGAAAAGGCGGGGUAAGAGCCCACCGGGCGCCAUCGCGAGUUGGCGCGCCGCACGGUCUGAUGGGUUGCAAGGUCAAGUAUACCGGCAGUGGAGCGCUGCUCCGGCCCCUGAGGCCGGCUGCUCCGGAUGGGCUGCUCGCCCAUUUGCCGGGGGGUAGACCGCUUUAGCCCGCGGGCAACCGCGCGGCAUAGAUAAAUGACGGGCCGACACGGCGUCGGAUUGCCAUCGCGCAAUCCCCCCGCCACGAAAAACGAGAAAAUAGUGUCGACAUAACCCGGCUUACAGUCCGGCCGCUUUU